UCCGAAAUAGGUCAACCAUUGACGACACAGCAAAUAUCAAACCGCACCAAAUCGAAUAUCCUAGUGGAAAAACGAAAUGGCAAACAGAUCAACAAACUGUUUCGUCCUUUUAAAGCUGUUCCAAUGAUACAUACAUUAUCACAGACGUUGAGUGGACAGGCAAACCCACCAGUGAAUAGCCAAGAAUCAUACACGCAUUCAGAUCUUAGGAGCCAAUGUAAUGGAACGCCAGUAGGAAAUUGCGGUGGUGGUUUAAAAGAAAAGUGUCCGCCACAUAGUAAAUGCUCGUUUGUGAACAAAGUGACAGGUACUGGGAUUUGCUGCAGAACGAGGCCGUGUUUCAUGUCUAUACGGGUACACUGGGACUUGUAGUCGGUUCAGUGGACAACAAUGCAGGGCAGGAACAGUAUGCAAGUAUUUACCAGGAAGCAAAACUGGAUGGUGUUGCAAUAAAGGUCCUGAAAAAGCAUUCUGUCCAUCAGGAGAGGUUGGAAACCCCUGCUCUUCUUUUCAACCUUGCAAUACCGGGUCUGAAUGCAGAAAUGGCUUUUGCUGUCGAAUGAAAACUUGUUCAAACAAAUGGGUAAACGAGGGCAGCUGCAACAUUUAUCCUGGUGCGCCAAUUUGUCCAAAAGGAACAAAAUGUAUAAACGGCUCCUGCUGUCGUUUACCAGAGGCAGUUUGUCCUUCUGGUAUUAUUGAAUCCUCUUGCUCUUUAUCCAAACCUUGCCGACAAGGAUACGUGUGUAGAUUCGGAAAUUGUUGUCGUGUUUGAAACAGCUUUGUAUAUUGAUUGAUUGCUUGAUUAUCAUGAAGAAGAAUACACAAAAUUGUCAUAAGCAAAGAUGCCAAAUUGUGCAUAUGUGAUUAUAUAUUUAGUUUUAUAUAUUUGACAUUUGGAGCAACUGGAGUGAAAGCUUUUAUGGGAAAUAAACACUGUAUGUAAACAUAGUAAUAACGCAUAGGUUAGUGUUUAAUGAUACGUAUUUAACAAAAUAAUUGGUCAAGAGUGUCGCAGGCCGCAGGCACUCCACCAAUUAGUUUAGUUAAUUUUGUUAAUGCAUGUUAUUAAGCAUUAACCUAUUUAAUGAUCAACAUUAUUUUUUCAACCAAAAAUGCAUUUCUCUUAACUGAACUGCGGAUAACCCCGCCCUUUUCACACUCUUACAUGUGGCAUAUAGAUAAGUGGCCCUUUCAACAUAUAACCAGGCACAUUUUUUAAUGUCUUAUAAAGAUUUUUAGGAUGUAUACCUAUGUCAGUAAGACUAUCAUGUUUUUAUGAAAUGUGUGAAUGAAAAAGCGGGAAAAUAAUGCAAUAAGCUAAACACAAUGGAGUUAAUACAGUCAGCAGAUUUUAACAGACAUUUUUCUUACAGUUAAAGGUAUAUCUAAAAGCUACUGUGCAAUCAUUUGUCUCUCCGUGCCCCACAUGUAUUACCUAUGUAAUAAAUUUGAUUGUAUUCACCUGACCUUGCCUAAUUAUUUUUUUUACGUUGACAUAGUUUUGAAGACAAAGUGUUGAAUUGAAAUUCCGCAAUACCUACAUAUUUUACAUUUCAGAGUGCAAACCACACCUCUAACUCCUCCCUAAUUUAAUGCAUUAUUGAGAUUAGUUUGACUGGUUAAAAUAUAAUUAAGUAAAUUCUAUUUAGUUAUUUCACAUUGACCAAAGAAAGACUUAGCAGAAAUUUAAAAAAUACUGCAAUGCGAUUGGCAAAAAAUAAUGUUGAUCAUUAAAUGAACGAAAUUCGUAUGAAAUUCAAUCAAUUAUCAUUUUUGAAAUUGUAUAUAUGGUACAUUUUAUAAUUUAUAAUGUAUGGGGAUUUAUUAGAAAUACAAUAUUACAAAAAUAUAAAUUGAAUCAAUUACCAAUAUUUGAAGCUCACAUCACACACUUAUGAUUAGCAGUGAGUUAAGCUUAGGAACAGAGAGACAAAUACAUUUCUUUAUUGUUCAAUGAUUUUAAACAGUUAAACUUGCAUAUCAGACUGCUGGAUUUACAGUGUUCUCACCGGUGCUUGAUAUAUCCAUUUCCACCAACGAUGAAAGCUGUCUGUAAAUCUUAAAAAAAACGUCAUACUGGCGGAUUUUAUAAAUGAGCUGCAUUCUUAGAAUGAAAUCAUUUCGUUGGUUAUGAAUACUAUUAGCAUAAGAUUAUUAUAAAGUACAUCAUAUAAAUUGAAAGAAGCACUUUUACAAUUAAAUUGAAAACUCGCCACAUAUUUGUCUUAAAGAUUUUAAGAUUUACGAAUAGAAAUAUAAUACAAAUGUAGUAACAAAUGUUUGGCUAUUUUUAUCUAUUUACCGGAGGGAGUAUAUGCAUAAAAAGAACAGCUGCAUUUGCAUGUUGUUAGCAGUUGUUUGCAGGUUUACAGCGAAUAUUUUCUUUUUUAUGUAAAGAGACAUAAACACGAUUUAUAUUAAUAUAUAAAUGUUUUAGGUAUCAUUAUUAAGACAGCAAGAAAAACAUGUUGCAUUACUUCGUUGUCGGGUUUUUGACAGGUCCAUAGAAAAACAAAGAUAAACAGAAUAUGAUGAAUGUAUUUGUUAACAUUUUUUAUUGAUAUAAUUUGCGUCUUAUGUUUAUCGCAAAAUUUGUUUAUUGUACGACAUGCACAAUCAGUUGAAAUUUAAAUUUCGUAAUAACGUUAAUUGCGGCAUAUUAUGAUUAACAGCUGCCGUAAAUACUUUUUGUAUUUGAUAUAUUCCUCAUUAGCUUUUAACUAAUGGACAUUGAAAAGGAAUAAAACGAAUAGCAUUAACAAUUAUCUCUAUGUCUUUUUUAUGUAUUAAUAUUCCAUUAGAUAAUUCGUUGUCAAAAUAGAAAAAUAAAUUUUAUAAAUAUACGAACGAACAAAUUUUGUUGUUCGAAACCUACGUUACUGCCUCCAGAUAUAUACAAUUAUGAGUUAAUGUUUAUACAAGUACAUUUCAAACUAUAUAAUUGAAGAUUUGUACCAUUUUAUUCUGCACAUAUGGCUAACAUUUUUCUUUCAAUUUUAAAAUAUAAACAUAUAUACAAACUAGUUUUGUUAUUGUAAUAUG